GAGAGAGAGAGAGAGAGAGAGAAAGAGAGAGAGAGAGAGAGAAAGAGAAAGAGAGAGAGGGCUUGUGUAAUCUCUGGCUGCACAUGAGCACCGGGGAGAGUUACUGCCUCAGCAGUUGGAUAAAAAAGGGGACCGUGAAAGAAGCGGAGGAGAAACUAACUCGGGUAUAAGAAGAAGGAAUACCUCUGGAAGACAGGAAGGGAGGAGAAGGAAGAGAGUUUGAAGUUGGGGGGGUGCAGGACAGACACCAUGCCGGGGUCUGUGCUGCUGCUGCUGCUGCUGCUGUCCCUGUUGGUCCUGUCCACAGGAAGUGAUGCCAGAAGAAUCAAGAAAAGAGGACUCAACCAAAAGGAUUACGAGUACCCCAACCACCCCCAGUCCACACAGCACCAGAAGAACGACCGGUGUCCUCCGCCGCCCCAAAUGCUGCCGGAACGGGCCUGCGAGGUGCCGGGCUGCCGCUCGGACUCGGAGUGCGAGCGCCAUAAACGCUGCUGCUACAACGGCUGCAUCUACGCCUGCCUGGAGUCCGUCCAGCCUCCACCAGUGCUGGACUGGCUGGUGCAGCCCAAGCCUCGGUGGUUGGGGGGUAACGGCUGGCUGCUAGACGGCCCUGAAGAGGUUCUGCAAGCCGAGGCCUGCAGCACAACAGAGGAUGGAGACGAGCCCCUUCACUGCCCCACAGGCUACGAGUGCCACAUCAUCAACCAGGGAAACCCCGCCGCCGGUAUCCCCAACCGGGGGCAGUGCAUCAAGCAGCGUGGGAACUCUGACGGUCGGGGCCUGAGGCACAAAUACUUCAAGGACUACAAGGACUACUUAGGUAAGUGAGGUACCGGCUCUAACAAUGCAGUAGGCUUCGAAAAACUUCAGCUCAAGCACCUGGGAUGAAAUCAACAGUGACCUCGGCCUCAGCAACGACCAUAACACGACCUCAGACGUCAGCCCGGUGGAUCUGCUCUCAUCUCACCUGAAGCAAGACCACAUCUCACCUGAAGCAGGACCACAUCUCACCUGCAGCAGGACAACAUCUCACCUUCUCACUCCACCCACAGCGGCUACCUCCUCUUCUGCUUUAUUCGGUGGUCUCUCCGGAGACCAAUGCACCCGCAGUGCAGCGCACAAAGAAAUACCUGCAUUUAUUUUCUCUAUCCUCUCUCUGUCUGAUAUAUAUUCUGAAAAGGAAGGAGCAGAGGGUGUUGAUGGUGACGCAGAAGAAGAGAAAGCAGGCUGUGCACCACGGUUGCUUUUAUCAUAAAUCUCACAGGAUGUUUGGAAACGUUACAGUUUUGGCAUCGAACGCUUUUUCUCAUUCUCACACUUGGACAAACCCUCUAACCUGAACGCUGGUCAGCAGAGAUCAAGACCAUGUGUUUCUGUGGCUCAUUCUCCAAAGCACGCGAUUCAAAUUUCUGCAUAAUCUGGAAGGCUUACAGGGAGACAUCCCAGCUGCAUCGUUGAAUAAAACCCAAAUGUGAAUUAAAAUGUCUAAUUACGAGAAUAAAUGCCAUAUGAGAGUGUGGGUUGUGUCAGAUGUGAGGGAUUUGGAAAAGCUCAGCAUGGUGAGUUCAAUUGAGUUUAUAAAAAAUUUUGUUUUUAACCGAUUCUCCACAUAACAAGAAGGGAAACCUUGGACAGCUUUUAACCGGCAACUAUAAAUAAACCAACAGAGAUUGAGAUCUGAGUCAUGCAUCAAAUAUCUACCACUGUUGUGAAAAGCUUUUCAUGAAUUUGUAUGUUUGUUUUUGCAUGAAUGUGUCAUCUGGUGACAAAUGGAGCUCAUCUGACAAACGAGAGGAUUCAGUCUGAUUUAAAUUAUCACAACUCCACGCUGGUCUGUACGAGUGUUUUAACAGAAAGGGCUUCCGCACGGAGCCGAUUUAGAAAACUUGUCAGAAAGUCUGUGUCACUCUUGAGCUGAACCUGCUUCAGUCUUCUUCAUCUGUCCGUGUUAUCGAUAUAUAAAUGGUGCUCACGUUCAUUUUUUUGCCUCUAAUAACUGGAGAAUAAGCUGAAGGGGUCAAAACAAAAGCUGUAACCAUGAAUUCUCGAAAGUCAUGUCUGAAUGUUUCUGCCUAACUGGUGCUGCGAUGCUGCCUCGUUUAUUCUAAAUAAACAGAAACAACAUUGUC